rnacentral:lncRNA from 1 species
GUGGCUUGUGGAAUCCUAAAGUGGCAUGAAAAUUGCUUAUAACAAGUGGGGACAUUUAGGAAUCAAAAGACGUAGGAGAUUCUUUACAAUUUGUGUUUGAACUUUUCGAUAAGAGUUGUACUUUUUUUUUUUUUUACAUUCUAUCAAUAUUUCAAUACACCUUUUUUUAAUAAAAUGGUAACCAUUUAGUGGACUUAGAAUUAAUGACAAAUAAUCCAAUCUCUUUAAAUUU